rnacentral:rRNA from 1 species
GUCUAUGGCUGUACCACCCUGAACACACCUGAUCUUGUCUGAUUUUGGAAGCUAAGCAGGGUCGGGCUUGGUUAGUACUUGGAUGGGAGAAGAAUCUACAACACUCCACC